UCCGGUUUGACACCGGCAGUCUCUCAUGAGUCCCCGACAUUACUCGCUGGCAACAUAAGAUAGGGGUUGCGCUCGUUGCGGGACUUAACCCAACACCUCACGGCACGAGCUGACGACAACCAUGCACCACCUGUGUAGGACGCCGAAGCACACCAUAUCUCUAUGGUUUUUCCCUACAUGUCGAACCCAGGUAAGGUUCUUCGCGUUGCAUCGAAUUAAACCACAUGCUCCACCGCUUGUGCAGGCCCCCGUCAAUUCCUUUGAGUUUCAGUCUUGCGACCGUACUCCCCAGGCGGCGAACUUAACGCGUUAGCUUCGAUACUGCGUGCCAAAUUGCACCCAACAUCCAGUUCGCAUCGUUUAGGGCGUGGACUAC
rnacentral:misc_RNA from 1 species